GGGAGAUGAAGGAGAAUGUGGGGCAUCUUAAGUGUCUGGGUGGUGACUUCCUCCCUAGAUGGCUCAGGGAAACCUGUUUCCGUCUCGUGAUUAGAACAACCUGUGUUCUGUAACGCGAGGUGUUCAAACAGCAAGAUGGGCAGUGCUAUCUCCCAGGAUGCUGAAGGCUUAAUUAACAUUUGAAAAUGCUUUGAGAUCUUUGGAUAACAACUGUAAAUGAAAGGAAUAACUUGGCCUACAGCUUAGCAACCACCACCAUCGUUAACUGCUGACCCACGUGCGGAGCCCUCAGUGCAAAGUCCUCUCUGCUCCCCAAGCCUGCAAUCCCAGCCGCAGCCCCGGGGCCUGGAAACUCCGGCCGAUUUAUUAAAGCGUCCUCCCUGUCUGCCACCAUCAGGCUAGAAUUGUUCCGAACAAAAGAAGCAUGAAUUGCUGGAAACUAUAUAUUAAAUGCAAGACUAUUUGUCUAGUUUUCAUUGGGUGCUGAGUGAAGAGCCUCAACUCCUCGUAUUCCCAUGGUACUCAGAUGUCCGCGGAGUCCGCUGCUCCUCACACUGUCAUUUCUCUCACUGGGCACAAUCCGGCUUUAAAGAAUCCGACACUUACUGGUCUUUAUGGAACUGUCAGCAGUGACAGCAACCAGGGACACUGCCAUGUCUUGCUGUUUACAAAGGAUGAGCACAACAAGGCAUCUCGAUGACUUGAUAAGCCCUGAGCUCCUCUCUCCCCAACUCUGGCCUCUCUGGACCAGCGGCCUUUGCAUGGCCAGCUAAAGACACAAGAAUUAAAACUUGAUCCAAACACUAACAAGUCUGCAACCACGGCCAUGAAGAUAAAGUAGGGCUGCUCAAGGUUGCUUGGUAAACAGCGAAAACAGAGAAACAGGAGGAUCCUUAUAUGCACAGGUUAUUUUUCUUUCAGUAUACUUAAAAUUUAGUGGAAAGAAAUCCUAGGCUAGCAUUAAAUUCAUAGAUUAUUAUUAUGGUCUUGAAUAGUUCAUCUUGUUUUCUCACUCUGACACUCCUUCACUUCUUUAGAAAUUCCAGC
rnacentral:lncRNA from 1 species